CAGUGAUGCUGAUAUUGGUAUAACGUCUUCUACAUCAGGACCUAAAUUGCUGUCUCAACCAUGGAAAUGUUAUGAUAAAUCAAUAAUGCACCAGCAAAAGUUCAGAAUGAUGGAAGAAUAUGGGCAGAAAAAUCCAAGAAACGUUAAACUUGUAAAUGGUGUAAAGGUUAUUUGUUCUGAAGAGUUUUUGCUUGGUAAAGGAAGUGAUGGAACUCGUGUUUACCUUGGACUCGGAAAAGAUGGUUACGGAAAAGCAGUAAAACGAUUGCUUUGAGAUAACUGCGCGGAGUUAGCCAAACGAGAAAAAGAUAUUUUGAAUGAGUUUAAUUCCAAGCGUUCAAAUUAUGUUGUGAAUUAUUGGCAUCUUGAAGAAGAACCAGGCACAGAUUAUUUGUAUUUGAUAUUAGAUUUGUGUGAAGAAUCGUUAAAAAGUUUUGUGAAAUCUUCUACUUUGCAAUAUCUUCUAAAAGCACUUCCUAGAAUUCUUAUGCAGAUUUUAAAAGGUUUAGCUGAUCUUCACAGCGGUCUGUGUCCUAUUCUUCAUCGGGAUUUAAGACCCUCGAACGUUCUUCGAGAUGUACAAGGAAAUUUUUUAAUCGCUGACUUUGGUAUAAGUCAUAUGUUAUCUGAUGAAACUUCGACACAUUGGAGCAUACAAAGAGGAGCUAAAUAUUGGAUAGCUCCAGAGUCAUAUAACGCAUCAGAUGAUACAAUUAAUAAAGUUCGUUACAAAAAAGAGUCUGACAUUAUGAAUGCCGGAAUGGUGGCUUAUUAUGUUGCAACAAAGGGGAAACAUCCUUUUGGAAUUGAACGGCAUAGACUGGACAACAUUUUGAAAGGAGACCCAGUUGGCUUGGACGAAAUCAAAGAUGCCACGCUCAAAGACCUUUUAUCGUGGAUGUUACAGCUAAAACCGGAAGACAGACCAUUGGCCAACGAAGCGUUAAAACACCCUUAUCUACUAACCGAUAAGGAGAAUUUCGAUUUUUUGUGUUUUGUUGGGAAUGAACCAGAAAUAAAGACAUCAUCUCCACAUUCUCUUCCCUCAAAUCUUCGUGAGCAGUUGAAUCUUUCAAUAAAUUGGAUGGACCGUAUCGAUCCUGAAUUCUUUUAUCAUUUCAAUAAAGUAUCCGACUCUACAUGGUUAGGUUGCCUAAGAUUUUUACGAAACGUUCGCCAGCAUUGGCAUGAUAAACCUCGUCCACAACUGUCAUCAUGUGUUAAAGAUGGAAACUAUCAAGAGUAUUUUCUUCAACUUUUUGAGGAACUGCCUUAUCUAGUUCACAGAGCCAUAAGAUUGAGAGCCUGGAAGGCAAGACCUGAUCUAGAGGAAAUUUUCCAAACAGUGAACAUCCUGUAAAACUUGAAGAAGGCAAGGGAAAGAAAAGCGAAGCUGUUAUUGACUACGCUGAUCUUAACGUGUAAAUGGUCAGAUCAAAUGACGAAUGGAAAAACAAGAACAUUAUCGUUUUCAAUUUAAAGCUAAAAUGUGCCACAUCAAUGAAGUCUUUUUAUUGUCUGCAAAAGAGGUUUAUGGGAAAGCAAUUGGCAAGAAGGAAAUCAAUGAUACAACUAUUCAAGAUCCUCUUUUAUGUAUGUUUUAAUUUGAGGCUCUUAAGCAUGUUAGAUUAAGUAACCAAGUUGGAUAUUACAUGGCCAGAUUGCUAUGAAUUUUCAUUGGAUUUUACAAUGUUAUAUAAUUAACUAUUUUUUUGUCUUCAAAUGACUAACGAUCUAUAACUGAAGGCGAAUGAAAUUUAGAUUUGAUUUCCAUACAUCAUGCUUCUUAUGUAAAAUAUACAAUAAAUUUUAACAUGUGUAAUUUAGUAAUACAUAGCAUUUCUUCAAGUAUAACAAUGUAUAACAAUACAUAUAACUAUAUAUAACAAUAUAAUAUGGAUGUCAUGACUUGUAACGCAAUUAAGGAGUUGCUCGAUCUGUGCUCAAAA